rnacentral:rRNA from 1 species
UACGGAGGGUGCAAGCGUUAUCCGGAUUCACUGGGUUUAAAGGGUGUGUAGGUGGGCUUGUAAGUCAGUGGUGAAAUCUCCGUGCUUAACAUGGAAACUGCCAUUGAUACUAUGGGUCUUGAAUUAUCUGGAGGUUAGCGGAAUAUGUCAUGUAGCGGUGAAAUGCUUAGAUAUGACAUAGAACACCAAUUGCGAAGGCAGCUGGCUACAGGUACAUUGACACUGAGGCACGAAAGCGUGGGGAUCAAACAGG